AGUUAAUGCUUAUNUCUUCGCUGACGAGUGGCGGACGGGUGAGUAAUACUUAGGGAUCUGCCCUUUGGAGGGGGAUAACCAUUGGAAACGAUGGCUAAUACCGCAUAUUGCCUACGGGCAAAAGGGGGCUUCGGCUCCCGCCAAAGGAGGAACCUAAGCGAGAUUAGCUAGUUGGUAGGGUAAAGGCCUACCAAGGCGACGAUCUCUAGCUGUUCUGAGAGGAAGAUCAGCCACACUGGAACUGAGACACGGUCCAGACUCCUACGGGAGGCAGCAGUGGGGGAUAUUGCACAAUGGGGGAAACCCUGAUGCAGCCAUGCCGCGUGUGUGAAGAAGGCCUUCGGGUUGUAAAGCACUUUCAGUUGUGAGGAAAGUUUGAUGGUUAAUACCCAUCAGAUGUGACGUUAGCAACAGAAGAAGCACCGGCUAACUCCGUGCCAGCAGCCGCGGUAAUACGGAGGGUGCGAGCGUUAAUCGGAAUUACUGGGCGUAAAGCGCACGCAGGUGGUCUGUUAAGCUAGAAGUGAAAGCCCCGCGCUCAACGUGGGAAGGCCUUUUAGAACUGGCAGACUAGAGUCUUGGAGAGGGGAGUGGAAUUCCAGGUGUAGCGGUGAAAUGCGUAGAUAUCUGGAGGAACAUCAGUGGCGAAGGCGACUCUCUGGCCAAAGACUGACACUCAUGUGCGAAAGUGUGGGUAGCGAACAGGAUUAGAUACCCUGGUAG
rnacentral:rRNA from 1 species